rnacentral:tRNA from 1 species
GGGCGAAUAGCUCAGUUGGGAGAGCGUUCGGGUCACAUCCGAAAGGUCGCAGGUUCGAGCCCUGCUUCGCCCA